rnacentral:snRNA from 1 species
GGAUGUGAGGGCGAUCUGGCUGCGACAUCUGUCACCCCAUUGAUCGCCAGGGUUGAUUCGGCUGAUCUGGCUGGCUAGGCGGGUGUCCCCUUCCUCCCUCACCGCUCCAUGUGCGUCCCUCCCGAAGCUGCGCGCUCGGUCGAAGAGGACGACCAUCCCCGAUAGAGGAGGACCGUUCUUCGGUCAAGGGUAUACGAGUAGCUGCGCUCCCCUGCUAGAACCUCCAAACAAGCUCUCAAGGAAAUCCAAGACAACUCAGCAAGUUCAAGGGGAUAAAAAUUAAACAGCUGCUGAAUUUUGACUUAAAACCUUC